UCUUGGCCUGGCUCUCAAUUCACUGACUUCAAUAAAAAUCUUUCACAAGAUCAUGGAUUUAGAAUUGGAGUUUCCCCUGAAUAUUACAGAUAUUAAACCAUCAAUCAUCAAUCACCAUUUAUUAAUCACCCACUAUGUUCCAGGUAUUAUGUUAAGUGCUGGGGAUAAAAUAUGAAAAAAGAUAGUUCUGGCCUUCAAGGAGCUUACUAUCUAAUGGUGGAAGACUAAAAAGCAAAAGGAAGCUGAAAAUGAGUGUGGUAGAUGGGGGAAGUACCAGAUCCAGUGGCACGAUGGAGAAGGCUGUUCAUCCACCAUGGGUGUUUACCUGCUCCUCAGCUCCCACCUGUGACUCCAGAGAAGCUGUAGUACAUACGGUGGACACACUGGUAAACUGUCUCAGCUGACAGGCUGAACCAGGUUGUGACCAGUUUUGGACUCAGGGAGAUGUGUCUUCCUGAUUCUGGACCCAGCACGCUAUCCACUUCGCUACCUGGCUGCCCUGCCUGGCCCAUAGUAAUCUCAAUCAAUAUUGGUAGACUAUUGGACUGAUUAAAUAACUCAUGUCAAAUUCCUGCACUGUCAUUUUCCAUUAACCGACAGAAUUCUUAAACAUGUUUUGAAUGAAUGUGCUUUCAGGCUCUCCGUUGGAUGAGAAAUGUCAAGUGACAUUUAAAAGUCUUUUAGGCUCAUCCCUAAGUUUGGCCUUGAAAUGAAGUUCUGUCAUUAACUACUCUAUAGAGGGCAUUAUGGUACUUCAGGUAAAACAAAAACAGUUGAUGAAAGAAAUGUUCCUUUGCAUAGUGUUUAUCUGAGAGCCCAUAAGAGUUUCCAAAGAACUUUUCACAGCUUGCCAAGAAAGAUUUCUGUUUUGCAAAAUCCUCAUUACAAAAAUUCUAUUUAAAUAUCAUGGCAAUAUUCCUCAGAUGAAAGGUACAGCAUUAUCCAGAAAAUGGAAAUAUAAAAUGAUUUAGAAUGCAACCUUCAGGGCAUAUUCCUUCAGCUUCAUGCCUGAGGGUUUGUGGAACUCCCCACAAAUGUCUCCACCACCAACAAAUAAAGUUAGAAGCUUCAAGAUGCUAUUUUUUGAG
rnacentral:lncRNA from 1 species